UUGCUUUAGGGAUGAACAUGUCCCUAACAUUUAAUUUACCAUCCAAUCACUUUGUCAGUUUGUUUUCCUUUCAUAUCUCGCUGAUCAUUAUAGGAUGGAAUAUUU